GAAAUAUAUAAUUGAGCUUCUAACUCACUAAAUAAUAUUAAUUUAUUAAUAUUUCU
rnacentral:tRNA from 1 species